rnacentral:rRNA from 1 species
UACGGAGGGAGCUAGCGUUGUUCGGAAUUACUGGGCGUAAAGCGCACGUAGGCGGCUUUGUAAGUUAGAGGUGAAAGCCCGGGGCUCAACUCCGGAAUUGCCUUUAAGACUGCAUCGCUUGAAUCCGGGAGAGGUGAGUGGAAUUCCGAGUGUAGAGGUGAAAUUCGUAGAUAUUCGGAAGAACACCAGUGGCGAAGGCGGCUCACUGGACCGGUAUUGACGCUGAGGUGCGAAAGCGUGGGGAGCGAACAGG